GGACGAUUAGCUCAGCCUGGUUAGAGCAUUAGUCUUAUACACUAGGGGUCAGCGGUUCAAAUCCGCUAUCGUCCA
rnacentral:tRNA from 1 species